UCCGAUCGAUGUUUAUCCUCUCUGAUGUUUAUCUUUCUUCUUCUUCUUCUUCUUCUUCUUCUUCUUCUCAUAUUCAUCUCCUCAACAAUGUACGGCAGAGGUUACUUCUAUUGGAUACAUCUGCGUUUGAAACCCUAAAUCAUGUACCGUCGAGUGGUUGGAGAAGAGAAUAAUCAUAAGAAACAGAUCUCCUAGGGUUUCUUAUCGUACUCGAUGAACGCUUUUGUACAAGCUCCUCUUAAUCGGCGACUCUGAGUUUGUUGAUUAGAAGCAACCUCUGCCGGACGGUUGUUGAGGAGAUGGAAAUGUGAAAGGUGAUACCAAGUGUGUUGAUAGGUGAUACCAGUACAAAAGUUUAGGACAUCAGCAAGAUCUCCCGUCAUCUCAAUUUGAGCAAUUAAACGUAGUUUUGUUAAUCACUAUCGGUGUUUUAAUUACUAGCAGUGAUUAAAAAGUUUUCCAUCAGAUGUUUGACUUAACAAUAGUUUUCGUUAUUUAUUCUAAAUUCAUCAGUUUUUGUAGGUAAACUGAAGUUUCCUACAAUAGGAACAGCCCGGCUAAGUUUCCUACAAUGACAGUCGUUAUAACAAGUUAAUAUGGCAAAUCACUGUUCAAUUACCUGCCUAACAAGUGUUGGAUAUAAUGAUGGUUCUACAUAAAGUUUGAUAAACAUCAUCCACUGUUCAAUUAUGAAGAACCACUGAUCAAGACCAAAGUCCAGACAAGCACUGAUCAACUAAAUGUGAAACACUCUCCAACAACAGUGGUUCCCCAUCAACAUUAGUUGUUCUAUCUUUGUUUAUGUUAACAGUGUUUAUUCUAUCUUUGUUUAUUUUAACAGUCCUUAUAUGUAACAAAAUUUAUCCUAUCACUUCAGUGUUUUGAUCUGUACUAUUAAUUGAACAGUUGUUUCAUUUUUAUACUAAAAAAAUUCCUAUA